GGUGUAUAGUUAAUAGCAUUACACUGUGACGUUAGCUACAGAAGAAGCACCGGCAAACUCCGUGCCAGCAGCCGCGGUAAUACGGAGGGUGCGAGCGUUAAUCGGAAUUACUGGGCGUAAAGCGCGCGUAGGCGGUUAUUUAAGUUGAGGUGUGAAAUCCCUGGGCUCAACCUAGGAACUGCAUUUCAAACUGGAUAACUUGAGUAUGUCAGAGGGUAUUGGAAUUUCCCCGUGUAGCAGUGAAAUGCGUAGAUAUGGGAAGGAACAUCAGUGGCGAAGGCGAAUACCUGGGAUAAUACUGACGCUGAGGUGCGAAAGCGUGGGGAGCAAACGGGAUUAGAUACCCUGGUAG
rnacentral:rRNA from 1 species